rnacentral:siRNA from 1 species
CUAACAAUAUUAUCUCGAUAAUGC